AUGUUGAGCGAGCUAGUCAGAACACGUGAACUUGUGAAGACAACAUUAUACUUGCUGCAUCGCCUCCCAGGUUGCGACCUGGCGCUUCGUGUUAGCCUCUACGCGGACGACGCAAUUAUCUUCAUAAACCCUAGACGUGAAGAGGUAGACUCUCUGCUGCACAUCCUUGGCGAUUUCGGCGAGGCAACGGGGCUCUGUAUUAACCCGGCCAAAUCCACGGUCUCGCUGAUCCGUUGCGAGAACAUCAACGUCGAGGAGGUGCUUCAGGGUUUUGCAGGCUCCAUCGCCCCAUUCCCAUCAUACCUAGGGUUGCCGGUCUCUACGGGACGCCUGCGUUUGGUCCACCUCCAGUUUAUCAUCGACAGGAUCAAGGCUAGGCUUGCGGGCUGGAAGGGCAAGCUGCUACCGAUGGCCGGCCGCCGCGUCCUCGUCCGAUGUGUGCUGAGUGCCAUGCCAACCUUCGCCCUAACCGUCCUCCGUGUCCCACAAAAAAUUCUGAGAGAUCGACAAGUGUAG
rnacentral:rRNA from 1 species